rnacentral:rRNA from 1 species
UGGGGAAUUUUGGACGAAUUGGGCGAAAGCCUGAUCCAGCAAUGCCGCGUGUGUGAAGAAGGCCUUCGGGUUGUAAAGCACUUUUGUCCGGAAAGAAAUCCUUGGCUCUAAUACAGUCGGGGGAUGACGGUACCGGAAGAAUAAGCACCGGCUAACUACGUGCCAGCAGCCGCGGUAAUACGUAGGGUGCAAGCGUUAAUCGGAAUUACUGGGCGUAAAGCGUGCGCAGGCGGUUUGCUAAGACCGAUGUGAAAUCCCCGGGCUCAACCUGGGAACUGCAUUUGGUGACUGGCAGGCUAGAGUAUGGCAGAGGGGGGUUAGAAUUCCACGUGUAGCAGUGAAAUGCGUAGAGAUGUGGAGGAAUACCGAUGGCGAAGGCAGCCCCCUGGGCAAUACUGACGCUCAUGCACGAAAGCGUGGGGAGCAAACAGGAUUAGAUACCCUGGUAGUCCACGCCCUAAA